rnacentral:rRNA from 1 species
GGGAAUAUUGCACAAUGGGCGCAAGCCUGAUGCAGCCAUGCCGCGUGUGUGAAGAAGGCCUUCGGGUUGUAAAGCACUUUCAGCGAGGAGGAAGGCGUUGCAGUUAAUAGCUGCAACGAUUGACGUUACUCGCAGAAGAAGCACCGGCUAACUCCGUGCCAGCAGCCGCGGUAAUACGGAGGGUGCAAGCGUUAAUCGGAAUUACUGGGCGUAAAGCGCACGCAGGCGGUUUGUUAAGUCAGAUGUGAAAUCCCCGAGCUUAACUUGGGAACUGCAUUUGAAACUGGCAAGCUAGAGUCUUGUAGAGGGGGGUAGAAUUCCAGGUGUAGCGGUGAAAUGCGUAGAGAUCUGGAGGAAUACCGGUGGCGAAGGCGGCCCCCUGGACAAAGACUGACGCUCAGGUGCGAAAGCGUGGGGAGCAAACA